GAUCCUGGCUCAGGAUGAACGCUAGCGGCAGGCCUAACACAUGCAAGUCGAGGGGCGAUCGGGAUUGAAGCUUGCUUCAAUUGCCGGCGACCGGCGCACGGGUGCGUAACGCGUAUGUAACCUACCUAUAACAGGGGCAUAACACUGAGAAAUUGGUACUAAUUCCCCAUAAUAUUCGGAGAGGCAUCUCUCCGGGUUGAAAACUCCGGUGGUUAUAGAUGGACAUGCGUUGUAUUAGCUAGUUGG
rnacentral:rRNA from 1 species